rnacentral:rRNA from 1 species
UGGGGAAUAUUGGACAAUGGGCGAAAGCCUGAUCCAGCCAUGCCGCGUGAGUGACGAAGGCCUUAGGGUUGUAAAACUCUUUCGUCGGGGACGAUAAUGACGGUACCCGAAGAAGAAGCUCCGGCUAACUUCGUGCCCGCAGCCGCGGUAAUACGAAGGGAGCUAGCGUUGUUCGGAAUCACUGGGCGUAAAGCGCACGUAGGCGGAUAGUUAAGUCAGGGGUGAAAUCCUGGGGCUCAACCCCAGAACUGCCUUUGAUACUGGCUGUCUCGAGGUCGAGAGAGGUUGGUGGAAUUCCUAGUGUAGAGGUGAAAUUCGUAGAUAUUAGGAAGAACACCAGUGGCGAAGGCGGCCAACUGGCUCGAUACUGACGCUGAGGUGCGAAAGCGUGGGGAGCAAACAGGAUUAGAUACCCCCGUAGUCCCUGAGCGGGCUGGCAAGGCGCAU